rnacentral:piRNA from 1 species
UCGUUCGAUAAUGGUUUUAUC